CAAUGCUUUCUCCCUGUUGCCCGCGCCUGUUCGACGAAAUGCCGAGCUGAUCAAAGGGUCUCGUGGGCAUCGAAUUUUUUUAUAUAAUAAAAAAUAAAAACGAAAAAAAUUAAUUUUUUAAUUUUCUUUUCCUACAAACCAAACAUCAGAAAACACAACAUUUUUUUCCAUCGAAAACUCUUUUUUGUGAAAAUUGUUUUCCGCACUGGAACCAAACACCCUUAUUCUUUUCGUUUCCUGCCUCAAUUUGAUAACACUUUCGUUUUUAAUUAUGUUGCAGGAGAUUUUGGGCUUGCUAAGACUUUAAAGGCAGAUGACUUAGCUUCCUCUAGCUGAUCAGAGGGUUCUCCGUGGGCAUCGGAGAGGGUGCGAGAGGAGGAUGUGAGUAUCCGCAGCAGGUGCAAAGCGCAGAGCAUGCAGCAGUGGUGGUGGGAAAGAAGCAGCAGCGGAUGAUGCUGUGUCAGCCUCCUCCCCUCGAACUGGUUCUUCCUGCCGAAUGGUCCUACUAACACUCGCACCCAAACUCUUUAUCUAUUUCUCUCCCUCUGUAGGCAAGCUUUUAGAAGUUUUCGAUGUUAACCUGCAAGAAUGGAGCAACUCAGAAGUAGGUCCUAUGCGCCGCUGAAACGAAUUCAACCUUAAAACCGUAGAUGAAGUCCUAUCCUCAAAACCCUUCACUUCAGGUGCUGAAAGUAUCUGUGAGAGAAGAUAGUGCUGCUGAUUCUGUUUUGAAUAUUCGGCUUUAUGGCCCAAAUAUAGACUUUGUGAUCGAUCGCAAGAGAGAGUUGAAGGUUAGUGCUCUAAAUUUUGGCUUAUGAAAUUUUCAAGUUUUGGGUUAUUGCAUCAUCUGGAAGUUUUGCAAAUGAACUAAUAUCCAUUUAAAUGCUAUGCCAUCUUUUCCCAUUGUCAACAGCAAGCUCUGAUACUGUUUAUUUUCUUUAAAACCUCUGAUCCUUGAUUGAAUCUUUAGAUGAUAGUAAUAAAC